GCCAAAGUGUACUGGUACACGGGCAAGUGUACCGGUACAAAUCCCACGAAAAUGCAAACCCGAGCCUCGGGUUUGCGAUUCACCACAAGUGUACCGGUACAACAAUCAAAGUGUACCUGAUGCAGAACAGACUUGAACCUAUAUUGAUCGGAUUAAACUGAUUUAGUUCAUUAUUUUUUAAAACUUAGAUUAGAUUAGUUGAGCAUAUCUUUUAGUUAGUUAAAUAAGGAUUUUGUAGUUAUCCUCUAAUUUAGUUUUAUCUGUAUUUAUUUUAGAUUUUAUUGUUAGGAUUUUAUCUAGAAGUUGUUAUGAAGGUUGUUAAUUUGGUAGAGAUUUUAUUGUUAGGAUUUUGUUUUGAGCUUAUCAUUGUUAGAAAAGCUCUUUAAAUAUUCUAUGUAUUGGACGAUAAUUAAUCAAUGAAUGAGGAAGAAUGUUAUUUUUUAAAAUGAGAUGUGUUCUCUAAUUUUUCCUUCGCGAAUGCGUCGCCCUGGAGUGAGUCCAGUCCCGAAGUGAGUUCGGUUCAGGAGUGAGUCCUGAUUAUCUUUUCUAUUUUUUUCUUUUUUUUUUAAUUUUUCUAUUUUCUUUAAUUUUUAUUUUUUUUUAAUUACGGAAAUUUUUUUUUUUAAAAAAAAAGUAUUUCAAAACUUUCAAAAUUUUAAAACGCUUUCAAAAUCAUAAAUUAUAUUUUAGAGCCCUUUAAAAACGUAGGACCCUAUAUCCCGUCCUGCAUCAGAUUUGGUAUCAGAGCUUAAGGCUAUUUGACGGUUCUAUUUCGUCAAAAAUUUUGGGCUUGUGGAAACAAGGUGGAAAUUUUUUUUAAAAAAAAUUAUGGAUGCAAAAGAAUGUCUUAAAAAUGUUUUUCAAAAGUAUGGUAGAAGAAAAGGAAUUCAUAUUGAGUCUUUAAAAGAAAUAUGUGAGAUGACAGGAGUAGAGUUUGAUGAAUGGCUGUACGAUCAAAGGUCAUAUUUUGAGAGAAGAAGAAAUGAUAUUCGGAUGGAAAUGCUAGAUGACUUGAGAUGGUGGUAUAGACAAAGGCAAAUAUCUCAUCUUGAUUUUAACAUAAUAUUUUUGAAGGAAGAAGAAAGAAGGUUGAAAGAUAUUGAAAAUAGUGCUAAAAUUGCUGAAGAUGAUUUUCGAUGGAUGGGUAAGGUCAGAGAUGAGUAUCGCUGGAUCCAACUAAAAGUUCAACUAGAAACCCUAGUUGCUCAACAGAGUACACAACCUAUAGAACAGUUGGAAGUCGACAAUUCUGAUCCAGUUCCAUCCACACCAUCUGAUUGCCAAGAAGUUCCAGCUGUGGCCGGGUCCGAGUUAGAUUUAGAAAAUCCAGAGUUGAUUCAUGAAGAUAAGGUAAAUCAGUGUGUUGAGGAGGUAAGAUUACAGAUCAAGUUACCCUCAUUGGUCCAGCAAUAUGAGUCCACUAUAUUAGAUCUUCAAAUUGCGUCGGAAGUAUCUUUCUCGUUGAUAUCAAACCUCAUGAAGUCUCAUGAAUUUAUCAAUCAUUCUUCCUACAUCAAGACCAAGCCGGAAACUCGGAUGAUACCGAUUGUUCGACAUGCAGGCAUUGGACUGCAUCACUUUAUUUUGCCCACUUGGUUGUUUCCUAUCUCGUUACAAAUUCAACUAAUCUCGAGGACGAGAUUCUGCGCAGCGGAAGCGAAUGAUGCAGAAUAGACUUGAACCUAUAUUGAUCGGAUUAAACUGAUUUAGUUCAUUAUUUUUUAAAACUUAGAUUAGAUUAGUUGAGCAUAUCUUUUAGUUAGUUAAAUAAGGAUUUUGUAG
rnacentral:lncRNA from 1 species